CCUGGUGGCUCAGAUGGUAAAGAAUCUGCUUGCAAUGCAGGAGACUCAGGUUCGAUUCCUGGGUCAGGA
rnacentral:tRNA from 1 species